rnacentral:rRNA from 1 species
UACGUAGGCAUCAAGCGUUGUUCGGAAUUACUGGGCGUAAAGAGUGUGUAGGCGGUGCUCUAAGUCCGGUGUGAAAUCUCCCGGCUCAACUGGGAGGGUGCGCCGAAAACUGGAGUGCUGGAGCGCGGGAGAGGAAAGCGGAAUUCCUGGUGUAGCGGUGAAAUGCGUAGAUAUCAGGAGGAACACCGGCGGUGUAGACGGCUUUCUGGACCGUAGCUGACGCUGAGACACGAAAGCGUGGGUAGCAAACAGG